UACGUAGGGGGCUAGCGUUGUCCGGAUUUAUUGGGCGUAAAGAGCGCGUAGGCGGCCUGGCAAGUCUGGUGUGAAAACUCGAGGCUCAACCUCGAGAUGUCGGCGGAAACUGUCUGGCUAGAGUCCGGAAGAGGAGAGUGGAAUUCCUGGUGUAGCGGUGAAAUGCGCAGAUAUCAGGAAGAACACCGAUGGCGAAGGCAGCUCUCUGGGACGGUACUGACGCUGAGGCGCGAAAGCGUGGGGAGCGAACAGG
rnacentral:rRNA from 1 species